AUGUACAUUCCUACAUCAUAGCGUUAAUGCAUCAGAUCCCAUUAGAACUCCGUAGUUAAGUGCGCUCAGGCUAGAGUAGUAUUGGGAUGGGUGACCGCCCGAGAACUCCUAGUGUUUUACAUG
rfam:Picea glauca, whole genome shotgun sequence.